rnacentral:rRNA from 1 species
UACGGAGGGUGCAAGCGUUAUCCGGAUUCACUGGGCGUAAAGGGUGCGCAGGCGGUCGGGUGUGUCAGAUGUGAAAUCCCGAGGCUCAACCUCGGAACUGCGUCUGAAACUACUCGACUAGAGUACUGGAGAGGGUAACGGAAUUCACGGUGUAGCAGUGAAAUGCGUAGAUAUCGUGAGGAACACCAGAGGCGAAGGCGGUUACCUGGACAGUUACUGACGCUCAGGCACGAAAGCAUGGGGAGCAAAAGGG